rnacentral:misc_RNA from 1 species
UCCUGCCUCGGCGUCCCUGGCAUUGAGA